UACGUAGGGGGCUAGCGUUGUCCGGAAUCAUUGGGCGUAAAGAGCGUGUAGGCGGCUCGAUAAGUCCGCUGUGAAAGUCCAGGGCUCAACCCUGGGAUGCCGGUGGAUACUGUCGGGCUCGAGUCCGGAAGAGGUGAGUGGAAUUCCUGGUGUAGCGGUGAAAUGCGCAGAUAUCAGGAGGAACACCAAUGGCGAAGGCAGCUCGCUGGGACGUGACUGACGCUGAGACGCGAAAGCGUGGGGAGCAAACAGG
rnacentral:rRNA from 1 species